rnacentral:rRNA from 1 species
GAGUAACACGUGGGUGAUCUGCCCUGUACUUCGGGAUAAGCCUGGGAAACUGGGUCUAAUACCGGAUAUGACCUUACAUCGCAUGGUGUUUGGUGGAAAGAUUUAUCGGUACAGGAUGGGCCCGCGGCCUAUCAUCUUGUUGGUGGGGUAAUGGCCUACCAAGGCGACGACGGGUAGCCGGCCUGAGAGGGCGACCGGCCACACUGGGACUGAGACACGGCCCACACUCCUACGGGAGGCAGCAGUGGGGAAUAUUGCACAAUGGGCGAAAGCCUGAUGCAGCGACGCCGCGUGAGGGAUGACGGCCUUCGGGUUGUAAACCUCUUUCGACAGGGACGAAGCGCAAGUGACGGUACCUGUAGAAGAAGCACCGGCCAACUACGUGC